GAGGCCCCGGGCCGCGGGAUUCGCUGCCCUGCGCGGGAGGCGGAUGCGGAGCGGUGAGGCGGGGAGGGAGAGAAAACCGAGCGGGAAGGAUCUCACUCUGUAGUCCAGGCUGGCCUUGCAUUCAUCAUCCUUCUGCCUCAGCCUCUGGAGUGCUGGGAUUACAAGUAUUGCCCACUAUACCCAACUUCUGGUGGUUAAUUUUGACUGUCAACAUGAUUGGCUUGAGAGAUACCUAGGAGAUUAAUAAAACUCACUUCUGGAUA